AAUGCCCUACGGGGCGCAGCAGUGAGGAAUAUUGGUCAAUGGUCGGGAGACUGAACCAGCCAAGCCGCGUGAGGGAGGAAGGUACAGAGUAUCGUAAACCUCUUUUGUCAGGGAACAAAGGCGGGGACGUGUCCCCGGAUGAGUGUACCUGAAGAAAAAGCAUCGGCUAACUCCGUGCCAGCAGCCGCGGUAAUACGGAGGAUGCGAGCGUUAUCCGGAUUUAUUGGGUUUAAAGGGUGCGUAGGCGGAAUAUCAAGUCAGCGGUAAAAAUUCGGGGCUCAACCCCGCCGUGCC
rnacentral:rRNA from 1 species